rnacentral:lncRNA from 1 species
CAGGCUGUACAGGAAGCAUAAUGCUGGCAUCUGCUCGGCUUCUGGGGAGGCCUCAGGAAACUUUUAAUCACUGCAGAAGGCAAAGGGGAAACAGGCAAGACUUACUUGGCAGGAGGAGAAAGGGUAAAGCUGGAAAAUGAAAGUAAUUUUCCAAGGUGGCCAAAGACUGUUGCCUACCUCUGAAUUUUUAGCAUCUGACACUGCUUCUAAAUUACAUGAUGGUUUGGAGUACUGCUUCCUGCAAGAAUCAUAGAAAUUCCUGUUUAC